UACAGAGGUCUCAAGCGUUGUUCGGAUUCAUUGGGCGUAAAGGGUGCGUAGGCGGCGCGGUAAAUCGGGUGUGAAAUCUUGGAGCUUAACUCCGAAACUGCAUUCGAUACUGCCGUGCUUGAGGACUGGAGAGGAGACUGGAAUUUACGGUGUAGCGGUGAAAUGCGUAGAUAUCGUAAGGAAGACCAGUGGCGAAGGCGGG
rnacentral:rRNA from 1 species